GAAGGACAACUAAGUGAAGAAAGAGGUAGGUUUGAAGAAGAAGAUGGUAAGCUGAGUUUAAGAGGAAUGGUGAACUUAAUUGAGAUCAUCUUCUCCUAGUUUUCGUCACAUGAACCUUUCUUCAUUUAGAUCUUCAAACCAGCCUUUUCUUCACUUAGUUGUCCUUCC
rnacentral:pre_miRNA from 1 species